rnacentral:rRNA from 1 species
UACGUAGGGGGCAAGCGUUGUCCGGAUUUAUUGGGCGUAAAGAGCGUGUAGGCGGCUAGGUAGGUCCGUUGUGAAAACUCGAGGCUCAACCUCGAGACGUCGGUUGAAACCGUAAGGCUAGAGUCCGGAAGAGGAGAGUGGAAUUCCCGGUGUAGCGGUGAAAUGCGCAGAUAUCGGGAAGAACACCCGUGGCGAAGGCGGCUCUCUGGGACGGUACUGACGCUGAGACGCGAAAGCGUGGGGAGCGAACAGG